GAAAGCGUGGGGAGCAAACAGGAAUUAGAUACCCUGGUAGUCCACGCCGUAAACGUUGUGCACUAGGUGCUGGAGGUUCUGACACCAUCAGCGCCCGAAGCGAAAGUGAUUAGUGCACCGCCUGGGGAGUACGGUUCGCAAGGCUAAAACUCAAAGGAAUUGACGGGGGCUCACACAAGCGGUGGAGCAUGUGGCUUAAUUCGAGGCAACGCGAAGAACCUUAUCCUGGGCUUGACAUGCAUGGAUUAACAGCUGGGAAACCAGCGCCACACUCUUUGAGUGGAACAUGCACAGGUGCUGCAUGGCUGUCGUCAGCUCGUGCUGUGAAGUGUUGGGNUUAAGUCCCUUAACGAGCGAAACCCCUGUCGCUAGUUACCAUCAGGUAAUGCUGGGGACUCUAGCGAGACUGCCGGUGUCAAACCGGAGGAAGGCGGGGAUGACGUCAAGUCCUCAUGGCCUUUAUGCCCAGGGCUGCACACGUGCUACAAUGGCGCCGACAGACGGAAGCAAUUUCGCGAGGUAGAGCAAAUC
rnacentral:rRNA from 1 species